UUAAGGAAAUAAUUAUAUAAAAUUAUUGCAAGAAUCAAACAUCAAAUUGGAAUCGUACCAAAUCAAACCGGAAUCGAAGAACUAAAAUUGUACUGAAUCAAAACUAAAACAGUGAAUAACUGAAUCGAAACUGUACUAAAAUUUUAGUUAAAUUCCGAGCAGACCCCAGCUGUUGUGAUAUGCAAGUGCUUGCUUGCCAUUAAUAUAAUAAUCAACCAAAUUGAACUCCUCUUUGCAUCUUACGGGAUCCAAGGUUGGGCCAAGUAUACUUGGGCCUAAUACAUCUGUAGCAAUUGGUCUUAUUUAUGUAUCUUGCAUACGGUGCAACUUUUCAUCACCAUACAAUUUCUGUGGGGAUUGACUGUCUUAGAUCUUUGAACUUGGAACUUGUUCCUGAAUGCCAUGGACACUUGGGUUUGGUUUCUUUAAGGCUGAAGCUUCAUGUGAUAUUAGCCAGCAAGGGGUCUUCAGCUGAUCCAUAAAGAUCAAGUUGUUUUCCUUGUUGAAUUUCGUUGUUUAUAUUAUCAUUUUGGCAAAACCAGAUCUCCUUAUUGCAAACACAUACGUGUUUUGAUGAUCUAAGGCCAUGUUUUGUUUUAGCGAGUCCAGAGGAGGGAUCUUGAAGAAUUAAUGGAUUUGAGUAAAAUCCAUUGAUUGGUUGAGUAAAAUAUGAUCAAAUUUGUUCAAAAUCUUUCAUCUAGUGAAAUCCCUCAAAGUUAGGGUUUUGAGAACUCACCUGCCAUCCUCCUAGGUUCGGAUAUAUACAUUAUAUCUCUUGUGACCUAUGGUUUAAUUUUGAACAUUUCAAUGGAAGUCUCUUUUUAUUUCUUGUGUUCUUUGUCAUAGAAUGUCUGAAGGCCAUUAUUGAAUCCUGUAACAUCGUUUCCUGCUCUUCAUUCAUUCAAAAUGUAAAGGCCUAUUUACGCUGAGGCACAGCAAGAGAGAUGCUUAGUUAUUAUAAGGAGGCAAUUGAUGGUGAGGAUAGCAUCAUAUUUUAUAUGCAUCUUCUGCCUGUUAAGUAGAUUUUUCCUUGUUUAUUAACUUUUUAUCUAUGUUGGCUGUGCUGGAUCUUACAAAAAUGGAAUAUUUACAUAAUGCGUGGCAAUAUUUUUGAAAUGACGUGG
rnacentral:misc_RNA from 1 species